ACGUAUGUGUGUGAAGGACUAAGACACGAAGCGUUAAAACUCUUACCACUCCUGCUACGCAUUCAACUAAUACGGUAUUUGUUAAACUCUGCUCCUCCUGUGUUACGUUUCCUCUAUUUUACUAUUCAUCUAUUAUAUAAAAUCCGUUCUGUCUGUCUGUGAGUGUGUCUUUUAGAAUCUCGGGCAUCCACCAUCCGUUUGCGCUCAAAUUUGAUAUGUAGAUAUCGACGGUAUCUGAGAGGCGAGCUGGCAGAAACGAUAGCACGCCGGGCGAAAUGCUUAGCGGUACUUCGUCUGCCGUUACGUUCUAAGUUCAUAGGUCGACUUUGCCUUUCAUCCUCUCGGGGUUGGUAAAUUAAGUACCAGUUACGCACUGGGGAUCGAUGUAAUCGAUUUAAUCCGUUUGUCUGUCCUUGUUUGUCUUCUCUGCGUUUAGCCCCUUGUGGGUAGUAAAGAAAUAGGUAUUAGGACGUGUUAUUACAAAAAUUACAAAAAUCGAUUCCAGGUGAGAAUGCAAUCGAUAAAUUCGUGGGAACGUGCAUUUGUACGCGAUAGUACAACAGCUGUUACGAUCAAUAUUACGCGUACGCGAGAAAAUGCACGGUGUCACCAAAUUUUGGGACAGUCGGACAAGUUGUUUUGAGAAAAUUUGGUUUAAAUGUUUGACAACUUAUAGGCGUAGGAGUCGCUGUGUGGUAAGUAGCUUGGUUACCAACCACAUGGUUCCGGGUUCAGUCCCACCACGUGGCACCUUGGGCAAGUGUCUUGUACUGUAGCAUCGAGUGAAUCAAAGCCUUUUGAGUGGAUUUGGUAGACGGAAACUGAAAGAAGCCCGUCAUAUAUAUGUAUAUAUGUGUAUAUGUGUGUAUAUGUUUGUGUGUCUUUGUCCCCCCAACAUCGCUUGGCAACCGAUGGCGGUGCGCUUACGUCCCCGUAACUUAGCGGUUCGGCAAAAGAGACCGAUAGAAUAAGUACUAGGCUUCCAAAGAAUGCCCUGGGGUCGAUUUGCUCGACUAACGGUGGUACUCCAGCAUGGCCGCAGUCAAAAUGACUGAAACGAGUAAAAGAGUAAAAGAGUAACUCAGCACCGUCCAUUGGACGGGUGGCAUUUUGCUCGUAAUAUAUACGUAUACAUAACAUGAGUGUAUGUGUAUACACACACACACACACACACACACACACACACACAUAUAUAUAUAUAUAUAUGUGUGUGUGUGUGUGUGUGUGUGUGUAUAUGUGGAGGCGCAAUAGACUAGUGGUUAGGGCAGCGGACUCGCGGUCGCAGGAACGUGGUUUCGAUUCCCAGACCGGGCGUUGUGAGUGUUUAUUGAGCGAAAACACCUAAAGCUCCACGAGGCUCCGGCAGAGGGGAGGUGGCGACCCCUGUUGUACUCUUUCGCCUCAACUUAUACAUGCAUACCAUAUUUGAUGACAUAAAAGAAGCAUCUAAUAUCAGCAGCGCAUAUUCAUGCAAAAAAAUUUUCAAUGCAGUAAAGCUAACCUCACUCAUAGGAUGCGGGACGAUUCUUUGGGAUAGUUUUUGCGCUAAAAAUAAGUGCUUCUUAUACACCUUCAAAUACAGAAUAAACAUCCAAUAUUCAAAAGAUAAAUAUCGCAACGAUCGUGACACAAGCAAACGGUUUAUUGAGUUCUUUUAGUCACCCAUUGUUGUCAACAGCGGAUAACUAUCAUAGUUUUACUCUUUUACUCUUUUACUCUUUUACUUGUUUCAGUCAUUUGACUGUGGCCAUGCUGGAGCACCGCUUUUAGUCGAGCAAAUCGCCCCCGGGACUUAUUCUUUGUAAGCCCAGUACUUAUUCUAUCGGUCUCUUUUGCCGAACCGGUAAGUGACGGAGAUGUAAACACACCAGCAUCGGUUGUCAAGCAAUGCUAGGGGGACAAACACAGACACAAAAACACAUACAUAUAUUUAUACAUAUAUACGACAGGCUUCUUUCAGUUUCCGUCUACCAAAUCCACUCACAAGGCAUUGGUCGGCCCGGGGCUAUAGCAGAAGACACUUGCCCAAGAUGCCACGCAGUGGGACUGAACCCGGAACCAUGUGGUUGGUUAGCAAGUUACUUACCACACAGCCACUCCUGCGAAAAAAAAAAAGAAGAGAAACAAACAUUUUUUUGUCUGUUUAUAUAUGUUUCUUUGUUCUACGAUAUCAACAAUAUAAAAGAAGCAAUUGUAAGUUAAGCGCUGAAACAGCUAAGAAGCCUGAGGGCCUCUACGUUGAACAGCCAUUGACAGCAGCUAAACCUACCUCAUUUCUCACACACUGCAGCCUUAUAAGUACACGCUGGCUGGACAAUGUAGUCCGGUGGUAUACGAUGCCAGAAAGAAAAUGUGGAUAAACGAGAUGUUCACGAUUGGAAUUCAUUUCAUCAUAGAUAGAUCUGCCUGAUCUGGGGCCGACCGGCAUCUAAACAAAAACCCAAGACCACCACCGCCGCCACCACCACCACCAUCACCACCACCAACAACAAAAAAACUUUCAGUGUUAUUCAAAGAAUAUAACAUAAGUCCAUGUGUCUGUGUGUAGGUUUCCCUUUACAAAGCUCAACACAGACUGUUUUAUUCGUCUGUCUUUCAGAUUCCAACUGUCUUUCUUUCACUAAGUAAUUCGCUGAUUGGUCAGCUUUCUAUGCAGCGAUCCCAGUUGAUGACAAACAAGCUUGUUCGCAAACUUCACAGAUUUGUUCGUCAGUCUGAUACAACAAAGAAGGCGAGGACGAAACUAAACUAACGUAUUUCAGACUCAUGCAAGAGGGGUGGGGGGUGUACAUACGCGGAUAUAGCUAUAGACGAACACACACAUCUAUUCUUUCUUUCUUUUUCUUUCUUUUACUUGUUUCAGUCAUUUGACUGUGGCCAUGCUGGAGCACCGCCUUUAAUCGAGCAAAUCGACCCCUGUACUUAUUCUUUGUAAGCCCAGUACUUAUUCUAUCGGUCUCUUUUGCCGAACCGCUAUGUGACGGGGACGUAAACACACCAGCAUCGGUUGUCAAGCAAUGCUAGGGGGACAAACACAGAAACAGACACACACAUACACACACAUACAUAUAUACGACAGGCUUCUUUCAGUUUCCGUCUACCAAAUCCACUCACAAGGCAUUGGUCGGCCCGAGGCCUUAGCUGAAGACACCUGCCCAAGAUGCCACGCAGUGGGACUGAACCCGGAACCAUGCGGCUGGUUAUUCCGUUAUUCUGUUAUUCUUUUACUUGUUUCUCUCAUUGGGUUGCAGUUUAUGGUGAGGUGUCGUCUUGAAAAGUUUCGGUCGAUUGAAUCGACCCCUUGUACUUAAUCAGCGUGGUCCUUAUACUAUCGAUCUCUUAUUUUUUCUCCCGAACUCCUCAAUUACGGGAUCUUAAACACGCCAACCUCAAUUCUUAAGCAGUGAGCAUCAAAUAUCCAUGCACACACAUGCAUGUACAUAUAUGCAUGUACGGCACAUAUGCAUACUCAUGUACAAACGUACAUACAUAAAAAACAUAUCUAUUUCUUUACUACCCACAAGGGGCUAAACACAGAGGGUACAAACAAUGACAGACAAACGGAUAAAGUCGAUUACAUCGACCCCAGUGCGUAACUGGUACUUAUUUAAUCGACCGCGAAAGGAUGAAAGGCAAAGUGGGCCUCGGCGGAAUUUCAACUUAGAACGUAGCGGCAGACAAAGUACCUAUUUCUUUACUACCCACAAGGGGCUAAACACAGAGAGGACAAACAAGAACAAAGAAACGGAUUAAGUCGAUUAUAUCGACCCCAGUGCGUAGCUGGUACUUAUUUAAUCGACCCCGAAAGGAUGUAAGGCAAAGUCGACCUCGGCGGAAUUUCAACUUAGAACGUAGCGGCAGACGAAGUACCGCUAAGCAUUUCGCCCGGCGUGCUAACGUUUCUGCCAGCUCACCGCCUUUAAACGUACAUACAUAAAAACAUAUCAGCUUCUCCCGAAAGAGCUGCAAGACGUACGUGUAGUGGGUGUAGAUUUCUUCAAAACUAAACUGGAUCUCCUAUUCUCAAGAGUCCCAGAUGAACCAACUUCACGGCAGGAAGUGUGACUAUGAGUAGCAGCAUCAAGCUCUCGCGGUCAGCAAAGGCCAACUAUCAAAGCAGGAUUAAUGAAAGUGCAGCAUCAUUAGUUUUCGGUGCCCACUAUGACCACGACCCUUAAAUUGAAGCUGAUUAAAGAGCGGACAACUGAUUCGAAACCUAUGCCACUACUUGACUUCUAAUUCACCUUGACUACUAAUUCACAUCUAUCCCAUUACUCGGUUUUUUGAGAAUAAGCCUUAAUAAAUGUUGCAGUCUUCCAUAAAAUGAACUCUUAUUUAUAAAACUUCUUGCUUCUCAGCAGAAGUUCGCCAUUAACUUCUGCCGGAGCCGCGAGGAGCUUAGGUGUUUAGCUCAUAAACACACACAUCGCCCGAUCUGAGAUUCGAACCCGCGAUCCCUCGACCACGAGUCCGCUGCACUAACCACUAGGCCAUGUGCCUCCACGCUGUUUCAUAACAACUAGUUUGAAUUCCCUAAUGUUUUAGAGUUCAGUAUAAAUACAUAGUUCUACGUAUCGAAUUUCAGCAGUAACGCAAGUGUCAGUUGUAAAUACAAACCACGUGAGCAAUAUAAAAUCCAUGGGUGCAGGAGUAUUCUUGAAAGAUUAGAAUUUUCUUUUUGGCUGGAAAUGAGGCAACGGUAAACCUAACGUAUUUUUGUUGCUAUAAAUUUGUGUGAUUUCAUGACAAUCCGAAUUAAUAAAAUUUUGUAAUGAUUUUAAUGAAGGGAGAAGUAUGAAUGUCUGGCGAAGCAGGUUUCAUUUUAAUUUUUUCAAGACGUUUGGCCAGCCAAAACUGAAGUGCGUCUUAUUAAGUAUAUUGCUUAAUGUACACGGUACGAGCUACUGAUAGUUUCAUACAUUGGAGAUAUUUUCUAGGUAGGUUUUGAUAACACGCCUAGUGCCUCCAAGUAAUCUUCGGGCUCUGUGCAUACAAUUCGUCAGAAGAAAGUUGUCUAUAUGUUUCCAUUCGCUGAAAAUUUCUGGUCUGGAAUUCAGCAGUACAGAGGAUUUCUUAGAUCUAAAAAAGAUAUGUGCUCUUUUAACAACGCAUAACAUGCAUGCUUUUAGAUAUAUGAUUUUUUUAGAUCUAUGACUUUUCACUUGAUUGUAUGUAGCGUGGAAUUGGUCUUCAAACCAGCUUGGUGGUUAUACUUUUGUUCAAGUGCUUGAAAAUAGAUAAGCGGUUAGCGUGGCGUCUUUUGUUAGCUAUCAGGUCUCAAAACACUAUAGGAGGUGACAGGACUGUUUAUGAAUGUAGGAAAGUUUCUUGUUAGUAAUAGGAUAGCCAAUUUUGCUUAUCUUAAAGAAAAUUUUUUAAGGAUCUAAAAAAUGCAAGUUAUGCGUCGGUAGAAGAUCACAUAUCCCAUUUUGAUCAAAGAAUUCCACUGCACUGCUGAAUUCCUGAUCAGAAAUUUUCAACAAAUGCAAACAUAUGAAUAAGUUUCUUUUGGCAAAUUAGAGAAAACUGGUCAUGGUUAAACUGAUAUACGUUUUUACUUUGCCGUUUACUGAUUGUAUGUCUUUUUUAACCACUGUGAAACAAGUUAAGUUUUGACGACUACAUUCUCGUUGGGUUGUUUGUAUUGAGUUUAUGGAAUACAUUUUGCAUCGCAGCUUUACUCAAGAAACAGGAAGAGUGAGCGAGAGAAAGUUGUGGCGAAAGAGUACAACAGGGAUCGCCACCACCCCCUACCGGAGCCUCGUGGAGCUUUUUGGUGUUUUCGCUCAAUAAACACACACAACGCCCAGUCUGGGAAAUGAAACCGCAAUCCUCCGACCGCGACUCUGCUGCCCUAAACACUGGGCCAUUGCGCCUCCACAUAGUCAUAUAUGCCUCACCAAAUUUUAAAGAUUUGAAGCAAAGAAAAAAAAAAGAAAAGAAAGCAAAAUUUAAAAUGGGUGGAUAGUAUUCUACAAUACCGAGUUCUAUAAAAGAGGUUAACUUUUCUCCAGUAUUAUUUACCCACUUGGUCAUAGCGGCGAGCUGGCAGAAACGUUAGCACACCGGGCGAAAUGCUUAACGGUAUUUCGUCUGCCGUUACGUUCUGAGUUCAAAUUCCGCCGAGUUCGACUUUGCCUUUCAUCCUUAGGGGAUCGAUAAAUUAAGUACCUGCUACGCACUGGAGUCGAUAUAAUCGACUUAAUCCGUUUGUCUGUCCUCGUUUGUCCUCUCUGUGUUUAGCCCCUUGUGGGUAGUAAAGAAAUAGGCAUUUCGUCUACCGCUACGUUCUGAGUUCAAAUUCCGCCGAGGUCGACUUUGCCUUUCAUCCUUUCGGGGUCGAUAAAUUAAGUACCAGCUACGCACUGGAGUCGAUAUAAUCGACUUAAUCCGUUUGUCUGUCCUUGUUUGUCCUCUCUGUGUUUAGCCCCUUGUGGGUAGUAAAGAAAUAGGCAUUUCGUCUGCCGCUACGUUCUGAGUUCAAAUUCCGCCGAGGUCAACUUUGCCUUUCAUCCUUUCGGGGUCGAUAAAUUAAAUACCAGUUGCGUACUGUGGUCGAUCUAAUCGGCUAGUCCCCACUUCCCCCAAAAUUUUGAGCCUUGUGCCUCGAGUAGAAAAUAUUAUUAACACAUUUGGUUAUAAAAAUUCUUCACUUCCAAUAAAGAUAGAUAGGUAUAUUACUUAGGUUUUUAUAAAAUCUAAUGUGCAUAUUCUAACUCUCCCCGGUUCACCUUUAAAUUGGUUGAAGCAUCCAUGUCUUUGACUGGCGUUAAAAUUGUGCGUGUGAGUCUUUAAUGUCAGAUGAGAUUUAAAUAGACAAAUGUUCCGUUUGAUCCAUUUGAUUUAAAAGUUUUGCAGAGCUUUAGGUGCAGGAGUGGCUGUGUGGUAAGUACUACCCUUGUGGCAAUCUAUGUGAAUAAAAGCAUAGGCGCAGGAGUGGCUGUGCGGUAAAUAGCUUGCUUACCAAUCACAUGGUUCCGGGUUCAGUCCCACUGCGUGGCACUUUGGGCAAGUGUCUUUUACUAUAGCCUCGGGCCGACCAAAACCUUGUGAGUGUAUUUGGCAGACGGAAACUGAAAGAAGACCCUCGUAUGUAUAUAUAUAUAUAUAUAUAUAUAUAUUGUGUAGUGGUUUAAUAAAGUAUAUGAUUCGGUAUCAUCUGAUAGUUGAUGAUUGAUUUAGAUAUAUUUCUCCAUUUUCUCAUUUUGUAUUAUUAAUUUACGGUAAAAAUAAUUUUACCUUUGCCCACCUAAUACAGUAAAUGAAUUAAUUGCAUCGCAAUUUUUAACAUUUAUGUAUUAGCUUUGUUGGGUACUUCUCUAGCAGUAUAUUGGAUAUAUGUUAUCCCAUGGAGGGUUGAAUUUACAACCCCUAUCUCAUUUUUAUAUAUAUAUAUAUAUAUAUAUAUAUAUAUAUAUAUAUAUAUAUUUGUAAGUGUGUUUGUGUGUCUGUGUUUGUCCCCCAACAUCGCUCGACUAAAGGCGGUGCUCCGUCAUGGCCACAGUCAAAUGACUGAAACAAGUAAAAGAGAAAAGAGAGAACAUUCACUUUGUAUACGUUUGAAUUUGUUUUCGAAUUUAUAUUCAUCAUAUAGUAAAAAUUCAUGCAACGUAUUUCCAUAAAAGUUGUGAUAAUUUUGUUUUGUCACUUUUUAAAUUUGUUUUCUUUACAGAUCUGUUAUUCUCGACUACCCAGAAAAGAAAUAGUUGAACUAGGAGGAGAGACUUACGGUAUCAGCCGAAUAAAUAUAUUUAUACAACAUAUCAUGGAUUGAGUAAUUCUUCUCAUGAAUUUUGCACAAAAUUUUCCGUACUUUGAGUCACUUGUUAAUUUCUGCAGGUAA
rnacentral:lncRNA from 1 species